rfam:Candidatus Saccharibacteria bacterium GW2011_GWC2_44_17, complete genome.
GGGGCUGACUAUAGCUUUCGACGAGAGGACAUUAACAGGUUAUUUUGCAGGUCGACUAUACACGUACGUAUAUAUUUAAUUGCAAAAUCUAUUGCUAGCAUUCAAGGUUCACUUGACUCAUUCAAAUCUUUGUUUGAUGUUAAGACUCCUUCGUUUGCGCCAAUCGCAGCCUAAUCGCUCGAUCAUUCCGUGUUAGCAGGUGACAUAGCGGUACGGGGUGUUAUAUACAUGUCACUUACUGGGCAAUAGAGCAGUGGCUAUUGUUUGGAAAAUUUUACCACGUGACUAAUUGCUUAUUUGUGUUUAUCUUCUAGAGCAUGAUGUCGUAAACAAUCAAGAUAAACUAUGCCUGUAGACGAAUAACCAGUUACCUUUCGGACCGGGGUGCGAUUCCCCGCAGCUCCACCA